rnacentral:rRNA from 1 species
CGCCUCUAGCUAAGACUAAUAUUAGAGGUACUGCCUGCCCAGUGAUAAUAAUUCAACGGCCGCGGUAUUUUGACCGUGCAAAGGUAGCAUAAUCACUUGUCUUCUAAAUAAAGACUAGUAUGAACGGCAAAACGAAGGUCCAACUGUCUCCUUUGCCCACUCAAUGAAAUUGAUCUCCCAGUACAAAAGCUGUGAUUAAACAACAAGACGAGAAGACCCUAUGGAGCUUUAAACACACCAGAAAGUGUAACCAAUAUUUAUUUAAUCCCGCACACCAAUUCUACACUGUUUUUGGUUGGGGCGACCACGGAGAAUAUCCACCCUCCGAGAUGACACACCAGGAAGACAUUCCUAAAUCUCAGAAAACUGGCAUAAUUGACCCAAUAAAUUGAUCAACGAACCAAGUUACCCUAGGGAUAACAGCGCAAUCCUCUUUAAGAGCCCAUAUCGACAAGAGGGCUUACGACCUCGAUGUUGGAUCAGGAUAACCUGACAGUGUAACCGCCGUCAAAGGUUUGUUUGUUCAACAAUUAAAAUCCU